UUUUUUUUGGUUUUUUUUUUUUCCUUUUUUUCCAUAUAAACGCCGUGUUCCUAGUCGCCUUCUGCAGUAAUGAUAGAAAUACGGCCAAGUGCGGAGAUGAUUUUAAACAUUUCUCUCCAAAGGGAACUUUUGUGCCCUGUAUUUAAUGACAAGUAUGUGGCUAUGUACAUUAUAUUCGUGGGAGUGUUCAACCCUAAGUCGGGUAUUUGUUUUAAUUUAUUUUAUUUUUAUCAAAACCUUGCCCUGCAAAUAUUAGCUAGCAUUCCUUUUCUAGGAGAAUACAUGCUUGUAAAAUUGGGCGUUAUAUAUAUAUAACUCUACAGCUUUAUAAGCAAAACUAUAAAACUAUACAGCUUUAUAAGCAAAUUUAAUAAAUAUCUUCUCUCUUUGAAUUUUUAAGCUAAAGUAAUAGAGAAGGGAUGUUUAAUUCUGAUAAGAAGCAGCAAUUUAAAAAUUAUGUGCAAACACUUUAAUAUUUUCCUUGUUCAUUUAUUUCCACAUUUAACUUUUAGAUGUGAAAUUGUGGUGUUUGUAAGGUAGGGUUAAAAGUCAAUGGUAACAUUGCGAACUGUGUUUCAUACCCAUACCUAAGUACCCGUGUCUGAGCCAGAUAUUACUGUCCUUUAGCAAUGUUUUCAAUUUUUUCAUGAAAAGUAACAAAACCAUGGGUUGUGGGCAUUUUCUAUACUGCAGGAUGACCUUUUAGUUGUGGUGCAAGAGAACCUGAAAAUGGUGUGCAUAGAGAAUUAUUAACCAGGGAAAUUAUUUUAAGACAGAUGUGAAUGUUGCCUUUUUUGCCAGACUAUUUAGCCCACAGACCAGGGCAGUACAUCAGCUGCAGGUGACCAUGUGGUUCAGCUGAUGUCACAGUUUUUUUACAGUGAUUUUGGUCUUAUCUGCACACAAAAAUUUGCUUGUACUGAUUUGUUUAGCAUGAUAGUACUAGAAAAUCAGGGAGAGGUGCUCUAAAGACUCAAAAGCUAAACAUUUGAAGGGGAAAAUGGCAUCUCAGAAUGCUGAGGAGUGGUUUAAAUGCCAGACAUUAUCAUAUCUAAGUAAACCUGGUCUCCUUCAAAAGGUUUUACAUUGAAUGUGUUGUCUGGAGCUUGCUAGGGCAUAUAGUGUGUUUGUUAUCUGUAAGAGCUGUCUUAAUUGUUUGGCAUACAUUAGACUGUCUGUUUUUGGUGAUAGCUUGGUUGUGAAUACACUCAAAAGAGGACAAAAAGCUUUAGCUCACUGAUGCUGUGGAACUGCUUGUAGAUAGCUGGAACAUUCUUAUCAGCCACCUGGUGGGAGAGGUAUGGGCUGUUUGACUAAGGAAACUCCUACAUGAAAAGUGGGAAAGGAAGCUGGGAAGACUUGCUUUCCAGCAAGGUGCUACUGUUUGUAAUUUAUCUUUAUU
rnacentral:lncRNA from 1 species